UAAUACGGAGGAUGCAAGCGUUAUCCGGAUUUAUUGGGUUUAAAGGGUGCGCAGGCGGGCCUUUAAGUCAGCGGUGAAAUCUCGAGGCUCAACCUCGAACCUGCCGUUGAAACUGGAAGCCUUGAGUAUAGAUGAAGUAGGCGGAAUUCGUUGUGUAGCGGUGAAAUGCAUAGAUAUAACGAGGAACCCCGAUUGCGUAGGCAGCUUACUAAACUAUCACUGACGCUCAAGCACGAAAGCGUGGGUAUCAAACAGGAUUAGAUACCCUGGUAGUCCACGCCGUAAACCAUGAUUACUAGUUGUUUGCAAUAUACCGCAAGUGACCAAGCGAAAGCGAUAAGUAAUCCACCUGGGGAGUACGCCGGCAACGGUG
rnacentral:rRNA from 1 species